GACGAACGCUGGCGGCGGGCCUAAUACAUGCAAGUCGAACGGAAAGGCCCUUCUUAUGAGGGGUGCUAGAGUGGCGAAAGGGUGAGUAACACGUGAGUAACCUGCCCUCGACAUGGGGAUAACUUCAGGAAACUGGGGCUAAUACCGGAUAGGACCUCCAGAUGCAUGGUGGGGGUCGGAAAGUCUCGGCGGUUGGCGAUGGAGUAGCGGGUUAUGAUCCUGUUGGUGGGGUAGAGGUUUACCAAGGCUUUGACGGAAAGCCGGCCUGAGAGGGUGGCCGGCCACAUUGGGAUUUAGACACGGCCCAGAAUCCGACGGGAAGCAGCAGUGAGGAAUAUUACACUGUGGGCGGAAUCCUGAUGCAACAACGCCGGGUGCGGGAUAACGGCCUUCCUGUUGUAAACCGCUUUCACCAGUGACGAAGCGUGAGUGACGGUAAGAGGUAAAUAAGCACCGGCUAACUACGUG
rnacentral:rRNA from 1 species